UUGUUAGUUUUUACUAUAUCUGCUUUUGGUUUUUCAGAUUGUCAUUUCACUGAACCAGGAUGAAUAUGUUUUAAAAGUAGGGUUAAUAGUUUUAAGUCACAAGACAUCAACUCAUGGACAAAGCUGAAGUCAAGGCAGGAAGCAGCAUGCCAAAGGAUGUGAAACAUCAACAUAGGAACCAAACCUGCAGGAGUUUUGGUCCUAACCCUGCUCUCAAACAGAUGGUCUCAGAUACAGAUUUAACCCCUGAAGAGCUCUGGAAGGGACAUUUCAACAUCCUUGCCUGUGUGGGGUUAAUUGAGAAAUCCUAGGCCAAUGUCUCUCUAAGGACACCGAGACCUGCGAGAUUUUGAAGGCUGUGUGGAGGAAACUGAGCCUUCAGCUGACCAACUUGAGUUACAACCAGCCCUCACGAACGAAUUGAGUUUGUAAGUCAAGGGUCCACUGUAACAUGGAAAUUUUCAAAAACAGAGAGGCAGACAGAUAACUGACUAGAACUGGAAUGGAAUAAGCCAAAACAAAAUGAUUAUAGGUGAAUAUGUUCAAUUAUUCAAUAUUGUAUAUUGUUGCUAUAACUUCAGGUAAAUAAAUAUAAAAGUUCUUAAGAAAUAAUUUUUUUUAAUUUUUGGAGGAAAGAACUAUAAAAGGGGAUUUAUUGGCGAAUCAGCUAAUUAUAUAUAAACAACAUUGCUUUGUCUGUCCUUAUCCAAAGCCUGAGAAAGAAUGAGAAAAAUAAG
rnacentral:lncRNA from 1 species